AAAGGGAGACCUAAUUCAGGUAUGGGAUGAAAAAAAAAGUAGUCCCAACCAAGAAUCAAUCCCAAAAGGUCGGAGCGAGGCGAAAUUGGCUUUCAAACUAGGUUCUGGGUUCAAACAAGACCUGAAUCAGGAACAAGGGCUAUUAGCUCAGGUGGUUAGAGCGCACCCCUGAUAAGGGUGAGGUCCCUGGUUCGAGUCCAGGAUGGCCCACCUGUACAGGUGGCAAAAAGAAAGAAAAGAAGCGAGGAAUCAGCACCUUAUCUUACUUAUAUAGUAAGAGAGAAUGCUGGCUCUGAGUUCAGAGUCCAGAGGAACCUUGAAAACUGCAUAGAGCUAGGUGAAAAAGCCAAAAAAGAAGACCGCAAG
rnacentral:tRNA from 1 species